AUUGAACGCUGGCGGCAUGCCUUACACAUGCAAGUCGAACGGCAGCACGGGAGCAAUCCUGGUGGCGAGUGGCGAACGGGUGAGUAAUAUAUCGGAACGUGCCCAGUCGUGGGGGAUAACGCAGCGAAAGCUGUGCUAAUACCGCAUACGAUCUACGGAUGAAAGCGGGGGAUCGCAAGACCUCGCGCGAUUGGAGCGGCCGAUAUCAGAUUAGCUAGUUGGUGAGGUAAAGGCUCACCAAGGCGACGAUCUGUAGCUGGUCUGAGAGGACGACCAGCCUCACUGGAACUGAGACACGGUCCAGACUCCUACGGGAGGCGGCAGUGGGGAAUUUUGGACAAUGGGCGAAAGCCUGAUCCAGCAAUGCCGCGUGCAGGAUGAAGGCCUUCGGGUUGUAAACUGCUUUUGUACGGAACGAAACGGUGAGCUCUAAUACAGUUUGCUAAUGACGGUACCGUAAGAAUAAGCACCGGCUAACUACGUGCCAGCCGCCGCAGUAA
rnacentral:rRNA from 1 species